GGAUUUAGGUCUUGAUCCAAAGUCAACUGAAGUCAAUGGGAAUCUUUCAAUUGACUUCAAUGGGCUUUGGAGCAAGUCCGCUUUUU
rnacentral:pre_miRNA from 1 species